rnacentral:rRNA from 1 species
UACGUAGGGUGCGAGCGUUGUCCAGAAUUACUGGGCGUAAAGAGCUCGUAGGUGGUUUGUCGCGUUGUUCGUGAAAUCUCACGGCUUAACUGUGAGCGUGCGGGCGAUACGGGCAGACUAGAGUACUGCAGGGGAGACUGGAAUUCCUGGUGUAGCGGUGGAAUGCGCAGAUAUCAGGAGGAACACCGGUGGCGAAGGCGGGUCUCUGGGCAGUAACUGACGCUGAGGAGCGAAAGCGUGGGGAGCGAACAGG